CGGGGUGUAGCUCAGCUUGGUAGAGCGCCUGCUUUGGGAGCAGGAAGUCGCAGGUUCGAAUCCUGUCUCCCCGACCA
rnacentral:tRNA from 2 species